CCAGAACACAUUUUAUUUGCUCUCAUAUCAAAUUUAUAAGUUUCUAAAUUCUAAAUUCUUUGUUUUAAAAAUGAAUUCUUAUUGUGGGCUGAAUAAAUCAUGUAAUAAUAUUCAAAUGCAAUUAUCCUGCAAUUUCUCCAUCAUUUAGUUAAAGAGUGAAUUAAGCAAAAACUUAGAAAUAAUUUGGAUGGCUAUUGAGUUGGUAUUUAAAGAGUAUCAGGAUGUGUUUGUGUGUGUUUUUAUACAUGUAGGUAUGUUUUUUUCAUGUAUGUAUGUUUUAAGAAAAUCGUGUAGAAAAACAAACUAAAAAAGAGAAUAGAGGUACAGAAUGGAUUACCAAUUGAUGUUUUAAAUGCUAAUUUUUUUUUAAAUUGAUUAGAAUUUUUUCAUAUUUACUUUGAUUUUGCCUCAUUCUAUUUGUGCUGGGGAAAGUACUCAAAGAACGGGUAGAAUUAAUUUAAUUAUCAGUUUAAAAAGACUUCAAAACAUAAACUCAAUUUUUUUUUAAUCUUUGAAUUUAACGUCCUAAAAUAUCAGGUCUAAAAAUGUACUAUAAUGCCAUCUACUGCGAUUAGAUAGCUGGAAUAGAGAAGCUUCUGUGUGCUUGAUUCCCAGCUUCUGCUGGUAAAUUCCUGUUUUCUAGUUAUGUUUGUGGCAGUCAACAGAUGACCGAGUAAGUUUCCUGUGUGUUAAGGGACGAAGAUAUCAAGGAUCUGCCCCUCUUUCUUUUUAUCUCCCUCUUCUCCUCCUUUUCCCCUCUCUUUUACAACACACACACACACACACACACACACACACACACUCAGAUAGGUACUUUUUUUUGGUUAUACAUACUUGAGCACUAUGUACUGGUAAUACAAAUGAGCAUAUAAAAUUGAAUUAUUAUUGACAUCAUUAUUUUCAUGCUGGGGAUCAAACCUAGGGCCUUGUGUGUGCUAGGCAUGUGGUCUAGCACUGAGUUACAUACCCAGUCCCCUGAUGUUUCUUUACCUCCCUCCCUUCCUUCCUUCCCACCCCUCCCUCUUGUCUUCCAUUCCUCCCUCCCUCCAUUCUUUUUUUUCUUCCUUUGAAAAUGCUGUUUGGGUGUUCUAGAAGGAGCAUUUGUUACAGAUAUUUUCAGUAAUUCUAUGAUUACAGGUCACCCUGCCUUGGAGCCAGCCAAUUAUGGACUGAAACCUCUACAAACUUACCCAGGAAGGUGCGACUGGAGUAUCAGCCUGAUGGACUGUGGGUCUGCCAAAGGAUUGUUGGAGCACACUUGAAGAUACCUGAUGCUGAUGUAUGGAUUACCUUCCUAAUGAGGCGGUACCAUUUCUGAGAAGUGAAGCAAUGAGAUGGAGGGAGCUACACAUAGCAUUGGAAGAGACAAAGUCCUCACAGCCCCAAGUUUUGGCCUGUACACUCUGCUGUGAAUUCCAGACCAAGCCUACCCUGCGGCGACAUCAGUCUCCUGUAUAUACACUGCAAGUGCAAAGACCUACAUUAGAAAAAACAAACUGCAUUAUAUGUAACAAAGUGCUGUUAAUCCUGAAUGUUUCAAAAUAUUAGCUUUUCGUUUGUUUGUCUUAAGGGAGAUUGGACUUGCAAGAAGGGAGAUGAGUCUGAAAGGCUGCUGUGCAAAGAACUAUGGAGCGAUAGGCAGACAGUUGUACAGCUUCAACUGAACCCAGUAGGCCUGAAAGGAAAGGGCAGUGGGAACGAUUCCCAGGUAGCUCUCAGUGAUUGACAAGUUAGGUCCUAAAACAUGGGCAUGAAGAAAAGGGUCAGAGGGAACUCUUGGACUCCAGGGCUGGGGAAUUUUAUAACAGGAUCCUGACACAUAGAUAAACGAUAAGGGAGAGAGAAGUUGAGUUAGCCAGUAAUGACAAACAUGAAGUUCACUGCUUGUUUGGGUAAAAUGUGGAGUCCUAAUUUUAGGUAAGAUGCUGCUGAGUCACUAAGAGUUUUCAACACCAAAGGAAAAAAAAAUGUGACCAUGGCAAUGGAAGAAACAACAGAAUGGUGCAUCUGGCAUCUUAGAUGCCUAACAGCUGGCUUCUAGUCUCCAUCAGGAGUAAAAUGACAGAUUGCACAGAGUCUAUAGAGAAGACAUGACUCAGAAAGAGUGGCUAGAAAGAGUUGUGGGCAUGCUGAGAACUGUACUGCUAGCUGAGAUGUUACAGUGAAGGAUGGACUAUAAGAUACUUCAAAGGUUUGAGAACCAGGUUAGGGCUAUAGGAUCACAGACAAAAUGGAGGAAAUGGAAGGGGAGACUUAGAUUUUUUUGUUAUGGGUUUCAAUUCAUUCAAAGUCACUUAGAUUGUAAUAAUGAGGUUCAUUUAAGACCUGGGACUUGCUAAAAUAAUAUGGUUAAAGCCAUGAAACAUUAAGAUUGUACUUGCCAUAACACAACCCGUUUGGGCUAUUAUUAAUCUAAUCUCGUAAGUGCACAUAAUACUCAAGCAAGCAAACCAAAGCUUUGAAUUCGGUUUACACUAAUAGUACGAAUAUCUUGUGGGAUUUUCACUGGGAUUCUCUGUACCAUUAACCAAUUACUAGUGGCUAGAACACUAGCCCACAUGUCGCUAUUUCUGGUUAGGGGAUUUUCUUGUCUGCCCGACUAAAUCUUCUAAUUAAAUGCAAUGGUACUACAUUCAUUUCAGUUCUCCAUUCACAAUGCACAGUGGAAAGUAUUGUUGCUUUAAGUAAACAGCUUUAAGAAUUGGUGAGCCACACACAUUGUAUUGCUGAUUUGUGACAUUCUUCCUGUAAAAUAGGAUGACUUUGUGGAACAAGCAAAGGUCAGACCUAGGAAAGAGAAGUCCUUUACUGACAAUAGGCAACAUCUUUAUGGUCAAAGUUACUGCUUCCAGUUGCAUCUUCCAACUAUUUCCUUUCAUUUAUCUCUGUUAGUUUCAUCAAAAGUUAUAUUUAAAUUUGUUAUAUUUAAAACUUUUUUGAAAUUUAAACCUCAAAUAGGGACAAAAUAACACAGCUAUAGUCUCUC